ACGCGUGGAACCUUACCAGGUCUUGACAUCCUUCGCUACUUCUAGAGAUAGAAGGUUCCCCUUCGGGGGACGAAGUGACAGGUGGUGCAUGGUUGUCGUCAGCUCGUGUCGUGAGAUGUUGGGUUAAGUCCCGCAACGAGCGCAACCCUUGAUCUUAGUUACCAGCAUUCAGUUGGGCACUCUAAGGUGACUGCCGGUGACAAACCGGAGGAAGGUGGGGAUGACGUCAAAUCAUCAUGCCCCUUAUGACCUGGGCUACACACGUGCUACAAUGGACGGUACAAACGGUUGCCAACCCGCGAGGGGGAGCUAAUCCGAUAAAACCGUUCUCAGUUCGGAUUGUAGGCUGCAACUCGCCUACAUGAAGCCGGAAUCGCUAGUAAUCGCGGAUCAGCAUGCCGCGGUGAAUACGUUCCCGGGCCUUGCACACACCGCCCGU
rnacentral:rRNA from 1 species